UGGGGAAUUUUGGACAAUGGGGGAAACCCUGAUCCAGCAAUGCCGCGUGAGUGAAGAAGGCCUUCGGGUUGUAAAGCUCUUUUGUCAGGGAAGAAACACCGGCUCUAACACAGUCCGGGAAUGACGGUACCUGAAGAAUAAGCACCGGCUAACUACGUGCCAGCAGCCGCGGUAAUACGUAGGGUGCAAGCGCUAAUCGGAAUUACUGGGCGUAAAGAGCACGUAGGCGGAUUAGAAAGUUGGAUGUGAAAGCCCUGGGCUCAACCUGGGAACUGCAUUCAAAACUACUAGUCUAGAGUAUAGGAGAGGAAAGCGGAAUUUCCGGUGUAGCAGUGAAAUGCGUAGAUAUGCGGAGGAACGCCGAUGGCGAAGGCAAUCCCCUGGGCCUGUACUGACGCUCAUGCACGAAAGCGUGGGGAGCAAACAGG
rnacentral:rRNA from 1 species